rnacentral:lncRNA from 1 species
UUUUUUUAAUGAUGGAAUCGUAGAAACCAAAAUCCUAUAGGAUUGAGAAGGUCAUGUCAUAUCAAUCCUAUGUUUUCACGUUUUCUAUAUAGAAUCAAAGAGUCCCUAGUUUCGAAAGACCUGUGAUAACAGUGUGGUCAGGCAGCUCCCCUACCUUUCCCUUCCCCUCCCGCGUAAGUAAACAGCCUGCUGAUCUGACCCUGUACCUUCCCUGGCCAAGUUCAGUGAGAAGAAUCCCAAUCCGCGACGAUCGACGGGAACCAAAAUCACCCCAGAAUCUAGCAAGCAGCAGACAGCACAGCACAAGCACAUCGAUCGCCCCCGCACGUCGCCCACUCCCCCACGCCUCCCUUCUCCCCGGCGCGCGCAGCCCACCUCCCUCCAUCUUCUGGUCAAACGGCUCUCCGCUCCAAUCCCCCGACCCUCUCUUCCCUCCGACCGCGCCCGUCCGGCGGCCGCAACCGGUUUCCAUGUCCGCCGCCGCCACCGCCGCCGAAUCCCGUACGUAAAACCCUCUCGAGCUUCAUUAAAACUGUGGUCGCCCCCGCGCCGAUGAUGGUCCAUUGACUCGUUCCACCAUUUUGUUUUCCUUUUUUUCCCGCAGCGGAGCGGCGGCGAUCGGAGGCCGUCGCGUGGCUGCGCGCGCUGCUCCGGGAGUCGGCGCUGCCGCUCCCGCCGCCGCGCGCCUCGGACGACGAGCUCCGGGCCGCGCUCGCGGACGGCGCGCUGCUCCGCGCCGCGCUCGACAAGCUCGCCCGCCCCGCUUCCCCGCGCGGCGACGAGGUNNNN